ACACGGUUUGUUUUUAGAAAUGUAUAAGAAGUCUCAGAAAGCUAAGUGUUUCGGGUUCGAUCUCUAAGAAGACGGAUGAUGGAGAAGAAAUUUUGAUCAAAGAUAUUUUCUUAAACGAGUUUUCCUUUGAUAUCCUACACUUUGCAGACGUUUCUUGAGUUAAUGGUUUCAAUUUUCAGAGUUUUCUGUAAUGAUUUUAUUACUUUUCGGAAACUAUCCAUGGGAGUAAUGAAACUAUCUUUCAUGACAUUUGUAAGCAGGAAACGCGUACUUUUCUAUAUUAAUAACUAGGCUAAUAUGUGGGGGUGGACGGCUAGAUGAUCGAGGCGGUUAAGGGAAGUCAGCCUAUCUUCUCUGAGUGACCUCGGAUCAAGUCCAAGCGGAAGAAAAAUCCAAGGAAUUUUUCGGGGAUGAUCUAUCAUUGUAUCGGACCCUUCCUUCACUGUCUGAUCGGCUCCAUUGUGAGCUUGGCCGAAUUUACGUUGGGUAGGAAGAAAAGGUUCUCUUAGUGCUCAAAGAGCGGAAAGAAUAAAAAAAGGAACAAUGAUAUGUGCAGACCUACAUGUAUCUGAACAUUACAGACCUGUUCGUUUAGUUGAGAUAGGUUUAGUGCCCACUUCUACGUCAAUUUGAUGUCAUUUCUACAGUUUUACAACGAGUAAAUGUUAAAAUGAAGUCAAAUUUAUAUAUUAAA